rnacentral:rRNA from 1 species
UGCUUCUCUGAUGUUAGCGGCGGACGGGUGAGUAACACGUGGAUAACCUACCUAUAAGACUGGGAUAACUUCGGGAAACCGGAGCUAAUACCGGAUAAUAUUUUGAACCGCAUGGUUCAAAAGUGAAAGACGGUCUUGCUGUCACUUAUAGAUGGAUCCGCGCUGCAUUAGCUAGUUGGUAAGGUAACGGCUUACCAAGGCAACGAUGCAUAGCCGACCUGAGAGGGUGAUCGGCCACACUGGAACUGAGACACGGUCCAGACUCCUACGGGAGGCAGCAGUAGGGAAUCUUCCGCAAUGGGCGAAAGCCUGACGGAGCAACGCCGCGUGAGUGAUGAAGGUCUUCGGAUCGUAAAACUCUGUUAUUAGGGAAGAACAUAUGUGUAAGUAACUGUGCACAUCUUGACGGUACCUAAUCAGAAAGCCACGGCUAACUACGUGCCAGCAGCCGCGGUAAUACGUAGGUGGCAAGCGUUAUCCGGAAUUAUUGGGCGUAAAGCGCGCGUAGGCGGUUUUUUAAGUCUGAUGUGAAAGCCCACGGCUCAACCGUGGAGGGUCAUUGGAAACUGGAAAACUUGAGUGCAGAAGAGGAAAGUGGAAUUCCAUGUGUAGCGGUGAAAUGCGCAGAGAUAUGGAGGAACACCAGUGGCGAAGGCGACUUUUCUGGUCUGUAACUGACGCUGAUGUGCGAAAGCGUGGGGAUCAAACAGGAUUAGAUACCCUGGUAGUCCACGCCGUAAACGAUGAGUGCUAAGUGUUAGGGGGUUUCCGCCCCCUUAGUGCUGCAGCUAACGCAUUAAGCACUCCGCCUGGGGAGUACGACCGCAAGGUUGAAACUCAAAGGAAUUGACGGGGACCCGCACAAGCGGUGGAGCAUGUGGUUUAAUUCGAAGCAACGCGAAGAACCUUACCAAAUCUUGACAUCCUUUGACAACUCUAGAGAUAGAGCCUUCCCCUUCGGGGGACAAAGUGACAGGUGGUGCAUGGUUGUCGUCAGCUCGUGUCGUGAGAUGUUGGGUUAAGUCCCGCAACGAGCGCAACCCUUAAGCUUAGUUGCCAUCAUUAAGUUGGGCACUCUAAGUUGACUGCCGGUGACAAACCGGAGGAAGGUGGGGAUGACGUCAAAUCAUCAUGCCCCUUAUGAUUUGGGCUACACACGUGCUACAAUGGACAAUACAAAGGGCAGCGAAACCGCGAGGUCAAGCAAAUCCCAUAAAGUUGUUCUCAGUUCGGAUUGUAGUCUGCAACUCGACUACAUGAAGCUGGAAUCGCUAGU